GCUGCUGCUCCGGGCGGGCGCGCGUCCACACAGUGUCACGUGCGUGCGGGGGCCUGGCACAGCCUCCUCCACCCUGCUUGCCUCACGGAAGGGACUCGUGACGCCUGCUUCCGGGACAGAUGCUUGCCGCCUUGGAAAGCCAGGUCAUGUGCGGAAGACAGGUUCACCUUCCAGAUGAGGAUAGAAAAAGAGCUACACCCAUCCGGGGCUGAGGCAUCCCCAGCAGCAAGGUGGAUGGAUGAACGAAGGAAAAGAAAAAUAUCAGGAACUCGGGGAUGACAGGCCUGCACAUCCAGCCCAGCAAGGAAGAGACAAUCGACUUGAGUCCUUCUGAAGAACAUGAAUAGCAUUUUGACGGGUGAAGUAACAAUGUCUUACGGUGGAAUGCAUUGCCUCAAAACUUCAGAGUCAAGAUCUAAAUCCUGACUUCAGACCCUCCAAGCUGUUUGUUGCUUAACAGUGGGUGUGUCCCGAAAAGCGACAGCUGACAGAAAUAAAAUUCAUGUGAAAUGA